rnacentral:pre_miRNA from 1 species
AGUGAAAUUGCUGGGUCAUAUGGUAAUUAUAUGUUUCAGCUUUUUGAGGAACUGCCAAGUUGUUUUCUACAGUGGCUGCAUCAUUUUACAUUCCCACCAGUAAU